rnacentral:rRNA from 1 species
ACGAACGCUGGCGGCGUGCUUAACACAUGCAAGUCGAACGGAAAGGCCUCUUUCGGGGGGUACUCGAGUGGCGAACGGGUGAGUAACACGUGAGUAACCUGCCCUUGACUUUGGGAUAACUUCAGGAAACUGGGGCUAAUACCGGAUAGGAGCUCCUGCUGCAUGGUGGGGGUUGGAAAGUUUCGGCGGUUGGGGAUGGACUCGCGGCUUAUCAGCUUGUUGGUGGGGUAGUGGCUUACCAAGGCUUUGACGGGUAGCCGGCCUGAGAGGGUGACCGGCCACAUUGGGACUGAGAUACGGCCCAGACUCCUACGGGAGGCAGCAGGGGGGAAUAUUGCACAAUGGGUGGAAGCCUGAUGCAGCAACGCCGUGUGCGGGAUGACGGCCUUCGGGUUGUAAACCGCUUUCGCUCAUGACGAAGCUUUGUGUGACGGUAGUGGGUAAAGAAGCACCGGCUAACUACGUG